AAAAGGAAACUAAACAUUCACAAGUAAUAUGAUUCAUUUUAGAUCAUAUACAUUGCAUUCAUCUAGUAAUUUAUCGAAUUCUUACAUUCAUUACAUCAUUUCAUCAUUUCUUUCUUACAUCACAUUUACCUCAAAAUAAGCUUUACAUUCUUUCUUUACAUCACUAAUCAUCAAAUACAAAAGAUGAUCAUAAGGUACUUUACUACAAAAUGAAACCCAAC
rnacentral:lncRNA from 1 species